CAGAGUAUUACACUCCCUAACCCAUUGCGAACAUACCUUUUGUUGCUUCGGCGGAUGCCCCCGGAGCCCUUCGGGGCACUGGACACGGCGCCCGCCGGAGGCCCCAAACCUCUGAAUUUAUUAUGAAUCUCUGAGUGGCGAAAGCAAAAACGAAUCA
rnacentral:misc_RNA from 1 species